AACAGAAGCUGCUUGUGGAGGUCUAUGAGAAAUACAAGCAUAUAAUAACUCAAAAAGGGAACACCAUAACCAUUAAAAAAACGGGCCGCCUGGCAUUAAUAUCUUUUAAUUGCAUAAGUAGUAUAAAGCGUAACAUAUUUAAAUUAAAUAUUGACCAUCGUUUUGUAAUCAAGGAGAUAGUUUCGAGGUUACGUGUGUUGGGCAAAAUAACCUGCUGAGUACAUCACAUGUACAGAAAGCUAACUCCUACCCUAGCCUGAUGAGCACAUCACAUGGCAGACACAUUACAAUAUAGUCAACUCUUGCUCUAACCCAACGAACACAAACAUGAUAAUAUAUAGUCAGGUCAAGGCCGGAGCCGAAGGCCCAAUUUCCCAGGCUGGCAGAUGGUGGACACUCAGACAAUGCACCAGUCAUCCUCAAGAACGGGAGAGCCACAUUAAUUUAUCACACAGGAGACACGAGGAGCUCUCCCCCGUUAGGAGGCAUAUACCAGGGCCUGAGAGCCACAUUAAUUUAUCACACAGGAGACAUUUCGAAGCUCUCCCCCGUUAGGAAGAACACAAGGGAUACACACCAGGGCCUGGGAGCCAAGGCCAAGCAAAAACACACAGAACCACACACACCUCAAACGCACACACCUCAUCGAGAGGAGGAUACAGCAUAAAACUGUAUCACACAGGGACUCUUCAUCUUCUUCUGAAGCAGACCUUCCACGGAGGCGAAGCUCUGGACGAACCAUCAGCGCUGAUUAGGGACUUAGACAUAUUCGAUUUCUCACGCUUUAUGACUCUGUAUAACCGUUGCCAAUUUACUUAAUAAAUCCAAGGUCCUCGUGCCGACAGACUUUAUUACCUCUCCGUCUCAUUUUAUCUGGUCCAGUAACUAGACAGACCCGUUUUUCCCCUCAAUUUGGUGACCCCGACGUGAUUUUUUCUGAAUUGGACCGCAACUGGGAAACGAGAGACGGAGAGCGGCACGACCUCGGGACCCCGGAGCACCGGACCGAUUCCUGCAGUCUCACCUCGCGCGCGCCCAACAAAAGGUAGGCAGAACCUGUUGAUAAAAUCCAAACUCUGCAUAGUUAUAUAGGAACCACAUUAGGAGGUGAGACUGUGAG
rnacentral:lncRNA from 1 species